GCUGCUGUGGCUCAAUGGUAGAGCACUUCACUCGUAAUGAAGUGGUUGCGAGUUCGAUUCUCGCCAGCAGCU
rnacentral:tRNA from 1 species